UACGUAGGGUGCGAGCGUUGUCCGGAAUUAUUGGGCGUAAAGAGCUCGUAGGCGGCCUGUCGCGUCGGCUGUGAAAACCCGGGGCUCAACCCCGGGCCUGCAGUCGAUACGGGCAGGCUAGAGUCCGGUAGGGGAGACUGGAAUUCCUGGUGUAGCGGUGAAAUGCGCAGAUAUCAGGAGGAACGCCGGUGGCGAAGGCGGCUUGCUGGGCCUGUCCUGACGCUGAGGCUCGAAAGCGUGGGGAGCAAACAGG
rnacentral:rRNA from 1 species